UGGCCCCCGCAGCCUCAGAAGCCUGCCCACCUGCAGGUGUGGUUUGCACAGGACGGCACAUCCCUCCUCGCCCUGGGUUUAAGCUUAAACACACAG
rnacentral:antisense_RNA from 1 species